UCAAGUUUAUCAUGGCUCAGGACGAACGCUGGCGGCGUGCUUAACACAUGCAAGUCGAACGAGAAUCUGCGGAGCGAGGAUUCGUCCAAGUGAAGCAGAGGACAGUGGCGGACGGGUGAGUAACGCGUGAGGAACCUGCCUUUCAGAGGGGGACAACAGUUGGAAACGACUGCUAAUACCGCAUGACACAUAGAUGUCGCAUGGCAUUUAUGUCAAAGAUUUAUCGCUGAAAGAUGG
rnacentral:rRNA from 1 species